rnacentral:rRNA from 1 species
CGCGGGUGCGUAACACGUAUGCAAUCUACCUUGUACUGGGGCAUAACUUCGAGAAAUCGUUGCUAAUUCCCCAUAACACUACAGAGUGGCAUCACUCAAUAGUUAAAACUCCGGUGGUACAAGAUGAGCAUGCGCCCAAUUAGCUAGUUGGUGAGGUAAUGGCUCACCAAGGCUACAAUUGGUAGGGGUUCUGAGAGGAUGAUCCCCCACACUGGUACUGAGACACGGACCAGACUCCUACGGGAGGCAGCAGUGAGGAAUAUUGCGCAAUGGACGAAAGUCUGACGCAGCCAUGCCGCGUGAAGGAUGAAGGUCCUAUGGAUUGUAAACUUCUUUUGUACGGGAAUAAACGCUCCUACGUGUAGGAGCCUGAAGGUACCGUAAGAAUAAGCACCGGCUAACUCCGUGCCAGCAGCCGCGGUAAUACGGAGGGUGCAAGCGUUAUCCGGAUUUAUUGGGUUUAAAGGGUUCGUAGGCGGACUAUUAAGUCAGUGGUGAAAGCCCUCUGCUCAACAGAGGAAUUGCCAUUGAUACUGAUAGUCUUGAGUGUAAGUGAAGUUGGCGGAAUGUGUGGUGUAGCGGUGAAAUGCUUAGAUAUCACACAGAACACCGAUUGCGAAGGCAGCUGGCUAACUUACAACUGACGCUGAGGAACGAAAGUGUGGGGAUCAAACAGGAUUAGAUACCCUGGUAGUCCACACCGUAAACGAUGAUUACUAGAUUUUGGCCGCAAGGUCAGAGUCCAAGCGAAAGUGUUUAGUAAUCCACCUGGGGAGUACGUCCGCAAGGAUGAAACUCAAAGGAAUUGACGGGGGCCCGCACAAGCGGUG